rnacentral:rRNA from 1 species
CCUACGGGCCGCAGCAGUGGGGAAUAUUGCACAAUGGGCGCAAGCCUGAUGCAGCCAUGCCGCGUGUAUGAAGAAGGCCGUCGGGUUGUAAAGUACUUUCAGCGGGGAGGAAGGUGUUGAGGUUAAUAACCUCAGCAAUUGACGUUACCCGCAGAAGAAGCACCGGCUAACUCCGUGCCAGCAGCCGCGGUAAUACGGAGGAUGCAAGCGUUAAUCGGAAUUACUGGGCGUAAAGCGCACGCAGGCGGUCUGUCAAGUCGGAUGUGAAAUCCCCGGGCUCAACCUGGGAACUGCAUUCGAAACUGGCAGGCUAGAGUCUUGUAGAGGGGGGGUAGAAUUCCGUGUGUAGCGGUGAAAUGCGUAGAGAUGUGGAGGAAUACCGGUGGCGAAGGCGGCCCCCUGGACAAAGACUGACGCUCAGGUGCGAAAGCGUGGGGAGCAAACAGGAUUAGAUACCCCUGUAGUC